rnacentral:tRNA from 1 species
GAGAGAUGGCUGAGUUGGUCUAAAGCGCACGAUUGGAAAUCGUGUAGGCGUUAAAAGCGUCUCAGGGGUUCGAAUCCCCUUCUCUCC